CUAAGCAUCACUUUCUCUCAACCUUAUUUUUUUCUCAAAUUCAGAUUCAUGAUCCAAACAUCCAAGCCACAAUAAUCUAUAAAGCAAAUAAAGCGAGAAGGAGAGAAUACCAAGCGAGUGACCACUCCGAGCAGAAUGAAGGUGGCUUUCCGACGGCGGUGUGGGUUUCAACGGUUGAAGUUGGAAGAAUAAGAUUUGUGGGAUAUCCUCUGUUAAAUUUUCGGUCUCCCCUUUUUUUGUUGUGAAGACAUACAU